CGAUCUUGUAGGCCUUCCUGUGACAUCGGGUGCUGUAGGUGUCCUGGAGGGCAGGUCGUUUGCCMCCGGUGACGUGUUGGACAGACACAUAAUCCUCUGGAGAGCCCUAAGAACUGCACCUUGUCAUUUUGGGGCAACAGUAAUACCACUGGAACAUAUGCAGUUCAGUUAAUGAUGGAGGAUUUCCCGACUCAGUCCAUCUCUCUCUCCUAUACUGACGGAUAUCAAUCUAACAGGACCUCAAAUGAUACACUCUGCAAACUGCCUGUUCAGUUUGUAGUGAGAGUGGACCCCCCGGUUCCAUCCUGUAUGGAGGGGUUGUACCUACCCAUGUUCCUGUCUCCAACACCAGCCCAGGGUGCACUGCUGUACGCCUCUGCAGACCAACCCCUGGAAAUCACUGUCAGAGCACAGGCUACCAACUCCACGUAAGAGAAAUGAAACGUGGAAACACA